GCCAUAGUGAUACCCCAGCGACACCAAUGUGCCGUCACGUCAUCGGCGGGGUCAGAGGAGGAGAAACGGCAUUGGACGCCGGGCAGUGAGAGGCGAGCAGCAGACCCUAUGGGAGACAGCCUGUUCUUGGCUGUUACCAUGGGGACGGAGGCAUAGGUAAUCGCGCCACGGACGUCAUCAAGCCGCGACACGGACACUGACGCCGGACACGAGCGGGCGAGCACGGCGUGGAGCAGGAACUUUAUUUAAGAACUUUAUUUGCAAAAAGAUACAAUUGGAAACGAUACAUACAACGGUGUACACAAGCCUUGCCACAAAACUGGAACCUAGCAUGGGGAAUACAAUCUACUUUUAAUUAUUCGGCUUCAUUAUAUUAUGAUUGGAUUUGAUGAUUCAAGUAUGGCCCUUCUUGAAAAAGAUCCUGAUUUUUGGAUCGAAACCUUUGAGGCUACAAUAAAAAUUUUCUAUUGAAGAAAUGUGUGGACUUUAUACACAGUGAGAGUGCACCCUCCACCACGUGGAAUUCUCGUCUACAUUUGCGGACAUUUCGUCUGUCGGGAGCACCCACCAUUAGGAACUUUGAUGAGAGUGCAGAACCCUCUUGAUAGAUAGACAGAUAGAUAGAUAGACAGAUAGACAGAUAGAUAGAUCUAUCUAUCUAUGUCCGGUAUGUAUUACCGGCAGACGGGUUGCCAGCUGUCCAUAGCCCAACAGCGGCAUCCCACUCGCCAGAAUGCCGGCCCCCUGACGAAAACCACGGAGAGUUGAAACGGCCGUCGGGCUGUAGUACUAGGAUCAUGUCCAGAUGUUUCUUCUGUAAGGAAUAA